rnacentral:rRNA from 1 species
UACGGAGGGGACUAGCGUUGUUCGGAAUUACUGGGCGUAAAGCGCACGUAGGCGGAUUGUUAAGUCUGGGGUGAAAUCCUGGAGCUCAACUCCAGAACUGCCUUCGAAACUGACGAUCUUGAGUUCGGGAGAGGUGAGUGGAACUGCGAGUGUAGAGGUGAAAUUCGUAGAUAUUCGCAAGAACACCAGUGGCGAAGGCGGCUCACUGGCCCGAUACUGACGCUGAGGUGCGGAAGCGUGGGGAGCAAACAGG